GAUGAACGCUGGCGGCAGGCCUAACACAUGCAAGUCGAACGAGUGGCGGACGGGUGAGUAAUGUCUGGGAAACUGCCCGCUGGAGGGGGAUAACUACAGGAAACGGUAGCUCAUACCGCGUACCCUCGGAUGUGCCCAGAGGGGAUUAGCUUGUAGGUGAGGUAACGGGUCACCUAGGCGACGAUCCCUAGCGGGUGUGAGAGGAUGACCAGCCAGACGGGAACGGGGACACGGUCCAGACGCCUACGGGGGGCAGCAGGGGGGAAGAUUGCACAAUGGGCGCAAGCCUUAUGCAGCCAUGCCGCGUGGAUGAAGAAGGCCUUCGGGUUGUAAAGUACUUUCAGCGGGGAGGCGUUACCCGAAGAAGAAGCACCGGCUAACUCCGUGCCAGCAGCCGCGGUAAUAC
rnacentral:rRNA from 1 species